AACCCAUGUUGAGGACAUUUUCAAGAGCUCCUUGAACCUAUGACAUAUCUCAAAAAGUGACUCCAAUUCCUUUUAUAAAAAAGAGGAUAUUUCAUUCCUAAGGUU